UAUGACACCGCAGCCCCCUCCCCUGCUGCCUCGUGCGAGCUCCGCGCUGCUGCAGCGGCGCAGGAGGAGAAGGAGGUGGUGGCUGGGGCCGCUGCCGGGUGCUCAGCGGCUUCUUCCUACAGAUCUCCAAUAGAGUCGACACUGCUACUGUUCCCUGUAUUCAAGUCAAUGCAACAUAUGCAUUUGCUGGUGAGAUGGUGGAGCUGGUUUCUUUUGUUGUUGUUGAGAAAAAAGGU